AUGAAGACUUUGUGUGUUGCUGUUGUUGUGCUGAGUCUCACCUCAGUGUGUCAGUCUGCACCGUUGACCUGUGAGCAGCUGAAUAAGCCACUCGACAAAAGUCCAGACGUGUCUGGAAGAUGGUACAUGAUAGCGCUGAGCUCAGACAUCUGUCUGAUUCCAACCCUCCUGAAUUCCUUGCUUUGGCCCAGUGUUGUUGUAGACGUUACAGCACAGGACCAAACCACACCAAACAUCUACAAUGCCAACUUUACAUUCAACAUGCAUGACUUUUGUGACUCAGAGGUUGAAACCUUUGUCCUUAAAAGCAGCAGCCUUUUUGAUGUGGACAGCAACAAUGCUCCAACUGGUGAGCCUGAUACGCUGCUGCACACUGGCUGUCCUGACUGCCUCGUUAUCAAGGGGAAUGAUGACAUCAACUUGCUCAUGUACCUCAGUAGGAGAAAAACUGUCACUGAUGCUGAGCUGAAGGAGUUUGAGACACAGUCAGAAUGUAUGGGCUGGUCCAAACCAGAGGUUCUAAACACAGUCCAUGAAUACAAAGACUGCAAGUCCUUUGAUGACGACAAUGAGCAUGAUGUUUCAACUUUAUUGGCCAAGAUGGGUCAACGAAUGAAAAGCUCAUUUAUGUCUCCUCUUCGAUGUAUUGGACAGUAUAUUUUUAACAUCCCUUCCAUUGGGUGGACAUAGAAAGAGUUGAACAGCCUUCUGUGAAUGAACAAAUAAAAACUACACUAAAUGUGAAACA
rnacentral:lncRNA from 1 species